UCUCUCUCUCUACUCGGGCGAAACGAGAAGGAAAAUGAAUCUGCAUCGACUCUGUAUCUUCAAGGAAACCCACCACGUUCCACUUCGCGCAUACGUUUGCCGUCGCCCAAAGAACUCCCCGUUACUUCUUCUCCGAUCGAAGAUGACGACGGCAUUGCUUUGCUGGUCGCCUUGGGACUACAUCUCCCCUUCGGGUCCAGCCAUCGAUUGUUGGACUGCAUGCGAUUCAACUAUGCAGGAAUGUCCUUGUUUACCCGAGGGGAGCCACUGACGUGCGUUGUGCAAUAUGCGGCACAACGACUGCAGCUCCUCCACCAGGAAUGAAGAUUGUUCAGCUUGUAUGUAGAGGCUGCUGAACAAUGUUGAUGUAUGCAAACGGUGCGACAAGUGUAAGGUGUUCCUGUUGUGACACCAUGAAUAUGACAGGAUCAGCAAAUCAGGUUGCUCAUCUGAACUGUGUCCAAUGUCAUCCGAUUCUGAUGUACCCUUAUGGAGCACCAUGUGUCAAAUGCGCAAUUUGUAACUACAUUACAAAUGCUGGGGUAUAAUUUGAAUCCUUCUAUAGUUCUUUUGGUUUUAGUUUUCACUAUUUUGUAUUAAUUAUUAACCUUCUCUGUUAAUAAAGAUGCAUAAUAUGAGAUUUCCAAUCCAUGUUGCUCAUAGGCCUAAUGAACCUACCCCUGUUCCUCCAUCAAUUUCAGUUCAAUCUUCCCGAGCUUCAAACAUGACCGUAGUUGUUGAGAACCCAAUGUCAGUGAAUGAAAAUGGCAAACUGGUGAGCAAUGUCCUGGUUGGAGUUACCACCAGGAAAAAAUGACAAUGGACCAGUUUUAGAAUCAGUUGGUUGAUAUUCCAGUUAAAUGAAGAUUAAGUCUCUUCUUCCUGGAGCUCAGGUUUUUAACAAAUGAUGGACACAAUGCCUAAAACCUGUUUUCUUUUUUUUUUCUAACUUUUGUAAAUGUGCCGUGUCACAUGGAAAUUUGUUGCAUCUGAUAGAUAUGCUACUGCAGUAGCAAGUGAUCUCACAAUUAAUGUCAAAUUACAUAAGACAAUAUACUUGUCCUGAUGAUUGCUUAUUUGUUUUGUUGGUUGACAUGAUAAUGGAAUUUUGUAAAGUUUCAUUUCUUUGGAUGGUUUACUACUGUAUUGCACCACAAGUUCAUUUUAAUAAGGCUCUUUGAUUUUAUUGAAACAGUUCUGGAUAUACUGAUUGCCCCAGGUCAGUUUCAGGAAAAACUCAUCAAAAUGUCUGUUCAAUCAUUCAUCAAAAGCACUAAUUAUGAAAAGAGGAUGUGAUGUUUAAUUGAUAUGAGAACUGUAUUAGUUGGAUUGCAUCUGGUCAUGUUUUGCUGCCUAAUAUUCAAUAGAUUAAAAUUUUUAUGGACCCCAGAUCUGUGACCUACAGGAUCACUUUGUUUUGUAGUCUCUUUGCAUCAUUUUCAUGAUAAGGCAUAUUCUGAAGAAUGUAUCUGUGAUUUAAUUAUUUGUUUACUGAGAGAACUUGAGGAAGCAUGGAAUAGGCACAAAACAGUUUUACUACAACUAGAUUUGAGGAACAGAUGGAUGCAGACCUUAGUCUGCCAGAGAAUGUUUCUUCUCAUGGGCAUGUAAAAUUCAUGAAAGCUCAAUGUAUAUAGUUUUACUUCCGGUGUAAUUUUGGGGAUUUUUAUUUAGAUAGAAAAGUCAAAAUGGCAUAUCAAUUCUAGUGUUUUUACAAUUAGAAUAUGACACUAGUUGAGGUCCUUAGUAUGUAUAUUGAUGGAGAAGAACUUCAAUAUAUAUAAAAGCUGAUAACUUUGGUGUCAUGGUAAGAUUGCUCUCUUUUUGUGAUAUAGCUGAUCAGGUUUCAGUAUAUUAACUCUUCCAUAUCAAAAAUUGGUGGAAACAUUAUGCACUGGGUCUUCCUGAACCAUACAUUUCAUUGUUGUUCAUUUAUACUAAAACCAUCACCCCAUUGUUUUUUAUUGGAUAGUUUAAGAUUCUAGAUCAAAUCAUUUUAUUAAUAACCUACUCACGGUAUCUAAUUGCCACAACAAUCAAGCAAAGUUGUCUGGUCUGUUAAAAUCAUUCUAAAUGUUCUCUAAAGAACAGUGACCUGCAGACAUGGAUGUUUGGGCAAGUGAUGUUGUUCACCAGUUGCAGAGAAGCAACCUGCAACCAUGGUGGAUUCCAAUGGAUGAUAGAUUUAAAGCAUAUCAGCUUCCAUGGUGGUCUUCCCUGUUAAGCUCUUUUGAGGACUAUAAGCAACAUGAUCACACAGGUAUCACAAAACAAAAGAGUGAUGUUUGCAGAAGAGAAGGUAAUCUGGUCACCACAGCAAAGUGAGGAUAUAAAGGACUUGAGAGCAUGACACUACCUU